rnacentral:rRNA from 1 species
CAGUAGCCGCGGUAAUACGGAGGGAGCUAGCGUUGUUCGGAAUUACUGGGCGUAAAGCGCACGUAGGCGGUUAUUCAAGUCAGAGGUGAAAGCCCGGGGCUCAACCCCGGAACUGCCUUUGAAACUAGAUGACUGGAAUCUUGGAGAGGUCAGUGGAAUUCCGAGUGUAGAGGUGAAAUUCGUAGAUAUUCGGAAGAACACCAGUGGCGAAGGCGACUGACUGGACAAGUAUUGACGCUGAGGUGCGAAAGCGUGGGGAGCAAACAGGAUUAGAUACCCGUGUAGUCCCUGUCUCUUAUAC